UACAGAGGUCUCAAGCGUUGUUCGGAUUCAUUGGGCGUAAAGGGUGCGUAGGUGGUGCCGUAAGUUGGGUGUGAAAUCCCGGAGCUUAACUCCGGAACUGCAUUCAAUACUGCGGUGCUCGAGUACUGGAGAGGAGAUUGGAAUUCACGGUGUAGCAGUGAAAUGCGUAGAUAUCGUGAGGAAGACCAGUGGCGAAGGCGGAUCUCUGGACAGUUACUGACACUGAGGCACGAAGGCCAGGGGAGCAAACGGGG
rnacentral:rRNA from 1 species